AGUCAACAUAAAUUUGGUGGUUUAUUUCCGGGAAUUUUAAAAUUGGUGUGUAUCAUAACUUUUAUAACAUUGCAGAUAAAAUUUAAUGCUGCUAUUUUUAAUGUGCAUUUCAAUAUAAAAUUUUUUAGCACAUAACAAUUCCUUACCAACAUAGUUUUUGAGAUCUGCCUGCUAAUGCAUGAAGUGACCAGAUCUUAAUUUAAUCACCCACUAAUUUUGGGGCAUAAGACUAUUUACAGCUUUUAACCAUUGGAACUGUUGUAAUCCCACAAAUUAUAUAAAACACAAGGAGUAUAACAUUACAAACUGUGGCACAUUCCUAGGUAUUUUUAAGGAAUAAUACAAAAGAAGCCUAUUCUGUGCUGUAAGUUACAAGUAUCCACAAAUAUCAUUGUUUGCAAUAAUGAAAAUACUAAACUGAAGUUCUAAAUUAUGUUCAUUGUUUGGUUGAUCUCUUGGUUCCAGUUUCAUUAAAGUAUUAAUACUUUCCCCAUAUUUGGCUAUUUUGUUGCAACAAAUGCAAAGUUCCUCUGUUAUGAAGCAGGCUUGAGAAAGGUUAAUGAUAAAUAUUAAGGGAAGACACAAAAAUUACUAUCAUCCAAUGCAAUAGUUUCAGGGCAUACUAAAAUUUCAGCAAAAAUUACAAAACAAAGUUAUAUUGAUCAGAAUGAGAAAAUAGAAGUAUCAAAAUAAUUUUAAAAUGUUUGUUUCAAAAAUUAUAAAGUGAAAAAAGUUAAAUUAUUUUUUUCGUGAUUUGAAAAUUCCAUUUACGCACACUUUUUCUUUCCACUAAUUUCAGGUAAAUCUCAAUCCCUGUAGGUAAAUUCUAGAUUUACAAAUACAUUUUUACAAAUGUAUUUACUUUUAAUUUUUUGUGCAUAAUUAAAAGUGAGACAUCUAAAAAUCAACUUUAACAAUUAUUAUAAUCCAUUUUGAUUUAUUUUAACUUCAAGGCAUAUGUAAAUGUAUUGAUAUAUUAUCAUGUAAUAUGUUACAUUUUGUAAUUUACAUUUUCACUUAGUAUUAUCAAUAAACUAUUUCUCAAUUGCCUUAAUAAUCUUCAUAACUGAAAUGCUAGAUAGAAUAUAUAUCCAUCUUCCUGGUACGGUAAUCGUGGAGCUUCAUAAUACAUCCCUAAUUAGGUUUAAAACGUAUCUCCCUAUAUAAACUUCCUUCAGCUUGUGCUCUUAAGAUUCAUGUAACAUGGCAUUAACAUUUCCUACUUAGUGUUAUUGGUUCUAAUUUUCAUAGAAGACAAUUUUCUGCUAACAGCAUUAUCUCAAUUCUUAAAAUUUAAACAUUUAAUAUAAGCGGUAAAUAUAAGUUCAAAUGACUUCGAAAUGUCUUAAUUUCUUAAGAAGCUAAAAACUUUCUUAAUUCAGAAUAAGAAAACAUUUAGUAUUUCCAGUGGUGGGGCUUAGUUUUUUGACAGAAUGAACUGAGAGGCAUAACGAACAAAAGGCUGAGGACCCACAGCCAAUUAAAGGAUGGCCUCUGAUUAAUCUUCAUCAAGUUCAUUGAGUGACAGGCAUGCUUGUUGCCAUGGAUGCUAGCAAACUCACUCUAUUAUAAAAAAAAAUCUGUUUUUAAGUUACUGCUUGAUCCUCCAUGACUUCAGUGGCCCAAAGCAUCUCCUUUCUACAUCAAAACACUGAAAUAUUUGAUUACAGCCAGCACACACCUACUGCCUUCCCUUUUCCAAGAGUAAGCCCCCAUGGAUCCUUUGGCCAUUCCACCUCUGACCUGCUUUUCAGAUCCCACACCAUUCUCCUUGUCAGCGUCUGAACAGGCUCAGGUCUGAGGAAUGGGGCCAAGUGCUGAGCAGCAUAUGAGCUCUUUGCCCUCUGACCCACGCAGAGUUCAGUGGGGCCAACCCUGCCUUCACUGUGGGCUUCAGACUGUGCUCACAGCAUCAUGGAGUCUAGAGACAGAAGAUGCAGAUCCUGGGUCUCCCAGGGGUCAAUAUUUUAAUUGACACCUGACCCUUCAAUCUCUCUCACUCCCAGUUCUUUCCAAUUGUAAAAUGGGAAUAAUUGUCCUUGUAAUGCAGGAUUGUUGAGAGAUUAAGAGAAAUGAUAUCUACAAAAUACUCAGAGGUGUUUACUCAUACACAUCAGAGCUAAGAAACAUUUUAAUAAAGUAUUUUUCUUGAAUAUAAAGUGCUGAAAGAUUUUCAAUUAUUGGAAAUUUUUUGAGAUGCAUAAUAGAAUUUUUCUUUCAAUAUAUGCCAGGAGAUUUUUCAAGUAUCCAAAAGACGCCAGGGAGUACCGUGUCUGAUGCCGUCUCAGUUCUGGGGUCUGGUGUUCAUGGUCAGUGCACAAUAUGACACCUGCCUGGUCCCUCCCUUCCUCUCCACUGGUUACCCUGGUUCUUUCUAGCGCAUUGCAUCACGACAUCCCAUUCCUGCCUCCCCCACCUGGCACAGGGGUUCUAACUCUCCCCCAGCCUUUCCUUCAGGGGGUGGGUCCCUUUUGAUGACAACAGGGGACACGGGGCUCUGUGCCUCAUCCAAACUGAACACCAGGGCAUUGCUUUCUGAUUUCCUGUUCAUGGCUGUGGCUACACAAGCUUCGCUGUGACUGUGGCUGCAGACUGUCCACCUUCCCUGGGGUCUCCUGGGCAGCCUGGUUUCUGGGCCCAGAAGGACCUUUCUGUGGUACAAACCUUGCUGAGGCCGCAGUUCCACAGGGGUCAAGAACGAAAGUUGUUGAGAGAGUUUGUUUUCCCUUUAAUUUCUCAAUGAAGCCAUCGAAUUUGAAAUUAUUUAAAAAAGACCCAUGACUACUGGACUCACCUUUCAGAGCCAGAGCUGCUGAUGUGGAUUCUGAAGAGCUCUUAAUAGAGCAGAUGUUUCCCACUAUGUUUACAAGUGGCUGUGCACUGAACCUCUGGGAGUGUGAAAUGCUGACUGUCGCCCUUCCUCCAGGAGCCCAGUUACAGACCUUCAGCCAGGGCGAGGGUGGGUGUCUGUGUGUGUGGUGGGAGGGAAGGAGGGCUCUCAUAGAACAGGGCAAGUCCCCUGGGCUUUUGUUGCUUCCCCUGUGAGAAGAGGAUUCCUGAGUUUGUUCCACAGAAAUGGCUUGUAGACUUGUGGCUCAUUAAAGUGGCUUCAGUGGACGGUCCAGGUUCUAACAAAAGGUGUAUUUGCAAAGAUGGAUGGACACUUUGUCGAGAGACUUGGAGAAAGAGUUCUUGGACUAGAAAGUUGUCUGGAGUUUGGGACCAGCGUCAGUGUUAUCUGUGCUCUGAUUUUACCUGUGUAAACAAAAGAGUUCCUUUCACUGAGGACAUCAGGUAGUGGGGAAAGCCAAGGAGUAAAAGGAGUCAGGAAGCAGACACGAAGCACAGUCCCCUGUCACUCAAAGGGUGUCCCAAGGACGGGUGCUGGUUCUCAAAGUGUUUGUCAUCAGUCUGGUAUGCAGCAAAAACAGAAACUGGAAGGAGCUCUUAAGCACUGUUACAGAAUUUUGAGAAUGUCAGUUGGCUUCAAUAAUUUAAAAAUUGUAUUCAUGCUUUUGUAUUUUAGUUUUCCUUAUUUAACCUUUUCUGUAGUCCUAGUUUUAUUAUCUUUCUACAAAGUAUCGAUCCCCUGGGCUUGGAAAAAAGUAAUCCUUUGUUUAAAGAGUUUGAGGAAACUAAGCGUGGCCUUUCUGUUCAGGAAACCUAGAUUCAGUUUUAGGUGUGUGAGUUCAGGAAAAUUGUUUAGCAUUUUUGAGACUCAAUUUCAUGAUCUGUAAAUUAGGUUCAUAAUCCUAUUUAUAGGCUGGUCAUGAGAUUCAAGUGGAUUAGCAUAAAGUCAUCUGGAAAAGGUAUCCGGAGUUAGUGAUGUGUUUCAAACGUGAGACAAAUAGGAGAAAGUGCCUGGAUGUGUCGUCUCUGAUCAACACUCACCAGACGCAUUCAUCCGAGUUGGAAGGAGCCCUGUCACCUUCUGCAAAAUAUUCUAUUUCCUCCUCAGUCCCCAAUCCUUCACUUUUGAUGUUCAUGACAUUCCAGCUACGGCCCCUGCUGUCUGCCCCAUUGAGCUCCCUGCUAUUCCUCAUGCCCUGAGGACUUGCGCUCCUGCAUCCCACAUCGUCUCUCCAUCUCUACCUUUGUCACCAGCAAGGACAACUUCUAACCAUUUGAGUAUCUCCACGGACAAUUUAACCUCUAGCUUCUUUCUUGUUUUACUUUGACUCAAAUAUAUUUUAUUUAUCUACACUCAGGAAAGCUUCUAUCAUAUUCAUUAUCUUAGAUCUCACUAAUUUUCAUUUUUGUCCCACAAUUUUAUAUAUAUAUAUGUAAAAGCUCAGUGUUAAAGUUUGAUUAGCAAAUAGUCCACCAGAAACACACCUAUAGUCCAACAUACCUGAGUUUAUUGGGUCGGUGUAGCGAGGGAGGGCUCUCCAAAGACCAUCACACACCUCUCAGCAUUGGAGAGAAGAUGCAUGGCUUUUGUUGUUGUUGUUAUUAUUAUUAUUGACCACACUUGGGGCCUUAAAACCUAUGCUACAGCUGCUGCUAGAUCGUCAACCCUCUGCACCCGAGUAGGAACUCUCAUGCUUUUUGAAAGGACUGCAUUCUUACUGAAGGCUGCUGAGUAGGAGUUAGGGGUUGUGGGUUUAGUUGUGGAAUGGUUGCUGUUCCUGUGGUGAGACUGUGGGAGUGGUUUAUCCAAAACUGAAUGCUGUCGUGAAAUAAUGGUAAUUUAGCAAUCGAGUAUCUCCUGCUGUAGAUAAGAAUAGUAUUUUAGGCUUGAGUACCUUGUUGAUAAGAAAGCAGUAGUUAUUGAAAAAUUAGAUCACUGUGGCAUUUUUACAUGGAAAUGUAGCACAAACUUGGAAGAAACAACAUUUUCUACUAACUUUGAUUCUAGGUUACUCUGUGUUCAUUUUUCCAGCCUGAACAAUGACAGGGAUGUUUUUCAGUCUCAAAAAAUAUGUUCUUCUGGAAAAUAUUUAUUUCUCAUUAUUUACCUAAUGUAAUGAUAUAAAAUUUUAUACUAUCUAUCUUUAACCAUCUUAAUACCUACAGAAUGUACAGUUAUGCCCCAUUUUGUGUGUCUUAUUUGGAUAAUUGCUAUUUUACCUUUUUAGUGAUUAUUACUCCUAUUGUUUCAUUUUGUUUUGUUUUACUUUUACUAAUCCUUUCAGUGUAGUUACGCAUUUCUUUCUUUACUCUAUGGGAGAAAUUUUCUAUUUAAUUUAUGUUUCUUUUUUAUUUUAGAUGAUUUUUAUUUUUUCCAUUCUAGCUGGUUUACAAAUGUUCUGUCAAUUUUCUACUGCACAGCAGGGUGACCCAGUCACAUAUACAUACAUACAUUCUUCUUCUCACAUUAUCCUCCAUCAUGCUCCAUCCUAAGUGACUAGAUAGAGUUCCCAGGGCUACACAGCAGGAUCUCAUUGCUUAUCCAUUCCAGAGGCAAUAGUUUGCAUCUGUUGACUCCCAGCUCCCAGUCCAUUCCUUUCCAAGCUUCUUGAGAUUAAAACUUAUGCUUUUGUUUCCAGCCUUUCCUUGAGGUUGGCUUCCAACCUAUUACCUUGAUGAGUUCCAGUCUUUUUUGUCAGUGUUUGUUCAACAGUUAGUUGUGAUUUUGUGUUUAUGUGAGAGGAAGUGAGUUCAAGUCCUUCUACUCUGCCAUCUUCUCUCUGACCCCUUUCCAAAGCUGGAAGGACUGGAAAUUUUCAUGGGACCCGGUACUCAGGUAGGGAUUCCCAAACAGUAAUUGAUGAGUUGCUGGAGGCUCAGUGUGGAAAACCCUUUUCUACCAUUUCCUUUGUGCUUCAUUAUUUUAACUCGUUUAUAGGGUGCCGGGUGCAGAGUUCUUGCCCCUGGUACUUCAGACCAGAAUUCUCACUAUGAGAUGGCUGCUCCUGACACCUCAGCUGAGCCAGCCUUGUGACAAGAAUUGUGCACAUACUGAUUCAAACUGGCAGCAGGCCAUUUUCCAACCUAUUGUCUUGAGUUUGGGCUCUAUAUAUCCUUUUUUAUGUGCCAGUUACUUUGAAUGAUGUUCUGGAGAUUGUGGAGGAUAUGUUGUAGAAAGUCUGGAUUGUCUUAUAUCAUUCUCAACAUAGUCACUGCUUGAAUAUACCACCGUUUCUUCACCUGUUCAUUCAAUAAUGGACCUUUAGGCAUUUCCUAGUUUUUGGCAAUUGUGAAUAAAGCUUCUGUGAAUAUCUCCAUGCAAGUCUUUGUGUGGAUAUGUUUUUAUUUCUCUUGGACAAAAAUCUUAGGAUUGUAAUCACCUGGUGUAUGGUUAGCAUUUGUUUCCUAAAACGUGCAAAAUUGUUUUUCAAAUGGCUGCACCAUUUUGCAUUCCAACCAGUAUUUUAUUCAGUUCUGUUUGCUUUGUGUCCUUUCUAGCACUUGGUAUUGUCAGUUAAAAAAAACAAAACAAAACAACUCUUCUGGAGUUCCUGUCAUGGCUCAGUGCAAGCAAAUCUAACUAGUAUCCAUGAGGACACAUUUUGAUCCCUGACUUUGCUCAGUGGGUCUGAGCAUUGCUGUGAACUGUGGUGUAGGUCACAGACACAGUUUAGAUCCUGUGUUGCUGUGGCUAUGAUUUGACCCCUAACCUGGGAACCUCCAUAUGCUGCAGGUGUGGUCCUAAAAAGCAAAAAAAAAAAAAAAAAAAAAAA
rnacentral:lncRNA from 1 species